UACGUAGGGUGCAAGCGUUGUCCGGAAUUAUUGGGCGUAAAGAGCUCGUAGGCGGUCUGUCGCGUCGGCUGUGAAAACUCGGGGCUCAACUCCGAGCUUGCAGUCGAUACGGGCAGGCUAGAGUUCGGCAGGGGAGACUGGAAUUCCUGGUGUAGCGGUGAAAUGCGCAGAUAUCAGGAGGAACACCGGUGGCGAAGGCGGGUCCCUGGGCCGAUACUGACGCUGAGGAGCGAAAGCGUGGGGAGCGAACAGG
rnacentral:rRNA from 1 species